rnacentral:sRNA from 1 species
UGCCAUGCUCCUGGGAGCUGAUUCAGUCUGUGGUACCACCCACAUCCUCACCUAGGCAGCACCAACCCUAUGUUCUCUUGCUGUAUGUUCUCUUGUCCCAUUUUCAACAGUACUGCCUGGGGGCUGCCCCGCCUGUGACAACCAUGCCCUCCAGGAAGCUCACCUGUGCCUGAAGCGCCAUUAUGCUGCCUUUCCAUUACCUAGCAGAACCUCCUUCAAUGACUCCCUCACAUUCUUGGAGAACGCUGCAGACGUUGGGGGGCUAGCCAUCGCGCUGCAGGCAUACAGCAAGAGGCUGUUACGGCACCAUGGGGAGACUGUCCUGCCCAGCCUGGACCUCAGCCCCCAGCA